GUUGGACGGUCUGUCGCUUGCCUUCAGGGCAAGAGGAAAGUCCGGGCAACACAGAGCAAUCCCACUUCCUAACAGAAAGCUGCUGGCGACGGUGGAGUAACGCAGAAGAAAACAACCGCUCCUCUCGGGGAGUAAGGGUGAGAAGGUGAGGUAAGAGCUCACCAGGUGCCGGGCGAUCGGCAUGCUGUGCGUCUUGGGAGUUGCAAGUUCAUGUAUACCGGCGCUUGAGGACUGCUCGUCCGAGCCGGAGGGUAGAACGCUGGAGUCCGUUGGCAACAGCGGAUGUAGAUAGAUGACAGACGCCCCUCAGGGGUACAGAACCCGGCUUACAGGCCAACUGUU
rnacentral:RNase_P_RNA from 1 species